UACGUAGGGGGCAAGCGUUGUCCGGAUUUAUUGGGCGUAAAGAGCUCGUAGGCGGUUUCGUAAGUCGGGUGUGAAAACUCUGGGCUCAACCCAGAGACGCCACCCGAUACUGCGAUGACUAGAGUCUGGUAGGGGAUCGUGGAAUUCCUGGUGUAGCGGUGAAAUGCGCAGAUAUCAGGAGGAACACCAGCGGCGAAGGCGGCGAUCUGGGCCAGUACUGACGCUGAGGAGCGAAAGCUAGGGGAGCAAACGGG
rnacentral:rRNA from 1 species